rnacentral:rRNA from 1 species
CCUACGGGUGGCAGCAGUGAGGAAUAUUGGUCAAUGGGCGCGAGCCUGAACCAGCCAAGUAGCGUGAAGGAUGACUGCCCUACGGGUUGUAAACUUCUUUUAUAAAGGAAUAAAGUGAGGCACGUGUGCCUUUUUGUAUGUACUUUAUGAAUAAGGAUAGGCUAACUCCGUGCCAGCAGCCGCGGUAAUACGGAGGAUCCGAGCGUUAUCCGGAUUUAUUGGGUGUAAAGGGAGCGCAGAUGGGUUGUUAAGUCAGUUGGGAAAGUUUGCGGCUCAACCGUAAAAUUGCAAUUGAUACUGGAAGUCUUGAGUGCAGGUGAGGUAGGCGGAAUUCGUGGUGUAGCGGUGAAAUGCUUAGAUAUCACGAAGAACACCGAUGGCGAAGGCAGCUUACUAGACUGCCACUGACAUUGAUGCUCGAAAGUGUGGGUAGCAAACAGGAUUAGAUACCCGUGUAGUC